CAGACAUCUGCUACCUGUUUACACCGCCACAAACAUGCCCAGUGUAUGCAAAUGGUCAUGUGAUAUGUGUUGUCAGACUUAAUAUGGGCGGAGAGCGUGGAA